AUGGACCUAACAGCUGUGCUGUCCAAUCUGCAUCUGUUUGCUGCUCCCAAACUGGCUCCAAGCUUCAUAUGAGACAGCAAGCUGAAGGCACCUGCAAAGCCUUGCACAGGCAACCAGGGCACACAGAUAACUGUGGAAGAUCUGUUCUAUAACAUGUCCACACGAAGGAAAGCUCUGAAGAGUGCCGCCGAAGAGCACAACAGGAUAGCAGAUGUUGUGGGGCGCUACGCCAUCCAUAACUGUCAUGUUGGCUUCACUCUGAAGAAGCAGGUGAGAGUUUGGCCGACAUCAGGACCCCACCAAACUCCACAGUUGUCGACAACAUCAGGACCAUUUAUGGAAAGACCAUUGCCAAGGAGCUCCUGGAGUUGAAAGCCGCGGAUGAUGCACUCAGGCUGAAAUUGACGGGAUGCAUAAGCAAUGUUAAUUACUCUUCAAAGAAACACAUCAUGUUGCUUUCAUCAAUCAUCGAAUGGUUGAAUCUGCAGCCCUGAAGAAAGCGAUGGAGCAAGUUUACAGCAUAUACCUUCCACAAAAUAAACAUCCGUUCCUGUAUCUAAGUCUAGAGCUGGAUUCCAGGAACAUAGAUGUGAACGUCCACCCAACCAAGCAUGAGGUGCACUUCUUGCAUGAGGAUUUGGUGCUUGACAAGAUCAAGGCAGCAGUGGAGGGCAACCUGCUGGGAUGCAAUACCUCCAGAGUGUUCUACACACAGGCAGGUUUGAAGUUCAAUGUACAGCUGAGCAGAUUGACUCAGUUGGUAAUGUUUCUGCCCAUUAUUUCUGGCCCGGCUUCCUGGUGCUGGUAUGCCAAAGAGACCAUGGCUGUGGAGACAAACAAGAUAUAUGCCCAUCAGAUGGUACGGACUGACAGUUCUGUGCAGAAGCUGGACAAGUACUUUGGCUCCCUUGCUGCUGCCACUAAACCCUCCGCCAGAGUGGAAUGCAAGUUGACGAGUGUUCUGGAGCUGCGACGUGACGUGGAAGAUGCGACACAUGUGGGGCUGAGGGCGCUGCUGAAGAACAGCACUUUCAUAGGCUGUCUGAGUCCGAAACAGGCCCUGAUCCAGCAUGAGACCAAGCUGUUCCUUUGCAACACUGCUCGUCUCAGUGAGGAACUAUUCCAGAUAAUGCUUUUUGACUUCGGUAACUUUGGAGUAAUCAGAUUUACAAAUCCGCUGCCCAUUUACGAGAUGGCACUUGUGGCUCUGGAUGAUGCAUCAUCUGGUUGGACUGAAGUGGACAGACCUAAAACUGAACUGGCUCGAUCCAUAGAGGAGUUGCUCAUGGAGAAGGGACCCAUGCUCGAUGAAUACUUCUCGAUGAUUAUUGAUACCAAGGGGAACUUGUGCAGCUUGCCUCUGCUGCUUGGCAUGAAUUUGAUGAGCAUUUGGUGCCAGUUGUCUGUGAAUAUCAGAAACCUCUUCAGGACGUACAUUCCGUUGCAUCUGCACUCAAGAUGUACUUCCUUGAACUUCCAAACCCUCUGUGCACAUACCAGCUCUACCACGCCUUUGUUGACGCCUUUCAGCACAGUCCUGAAGUGGGUUGCAGACUUUUCCGCAUGCAGCACGCUGUCCAGAAACUGCCACUUCCCCACCAGAGAUGUUCCAGACUGCAUGGAGUUACAUCCUAGAAACAGCAAACCUACUCUACAGAUUUACAUCGUGGUGCCGCUAUGCAUUUGCAUACCCUGCAUCUCCAACCAGUUCACCAUAAACCAUAAGCUCUCACGACUUCCUUUGUAUGUCGGAUUGAUUUGUGUAACAGGCAAGAAAAUAAACAUGGUGAAAAUGUGCAUUCUAAUAGGAACAUGACCCUCAGAAGGGGAGCUGAGAAGUUUAUAAGAAUCCCAAGUCGAAAGUGCAACAGCGGAAUAUCACAAACCCCUUAAACACGGUAAAAAUGUGCAUUCUAAUAAGAACAUGACCCUCAGGAAGGGAGCUGAGAAGUUUAGAAGAAUCCCAAGUAGAAAUUGCAACAGCGGAAUAAUAUCACGAACCUCAGCGGCGUUCGUUUCUAACAAUUUGUCAAAAUAUGAGGAAACAGAAUUUCUUUAGAAUGACUCCCUAAAGAAUACC